AUAGUUUCUUAUACCUAGAAAAAGCUAUAGUGUGUGACCCCAUUAAGUACGCAAUGUCUGGGCCAAGUCUUGGCACAUGGACCAACCCGAAACAAUAAGCUCAUGCACAUCCAUGUGCCGAACAAGAGGCGAUACACAUCCUAACAUAGAACAAUAAUGAGUAAGGAGAGAAAGGACGACACCAACAUGCACACAACAAGUUCCCCACAUCUCUCAACCCCACGGGAUGCUAUUGGGCUUCCAUACAAACACCAAAUCAGAAACAUGGGGAUCAACCGGCUUUGUCUCUAUUCCAUCCUCUCAUGAGCUUUGCAACAAUUGUAGGUGGUGGUUGAUGAGGACAUGGCUACCUUGGAAAUGACAAAAAAUGUUGCAUACAAGAAUAAUUAUAAGAUGUUUUCUUAUGAUAAAUAUGCAAUAUUUUUUAUAUUAUCUAGAACAAAAAUACUUCAUCUAUUUUUAAUUCAUGCCUAAAUGCAGUAUUACUUAACACAUACAAACCACGUGUGAAGAUAAAGGAAAAUAAAAUGAUUAGAUGUUGUUCAAGAAGUCUUCUCACAUGAAAGGAAAAGAUUAGGUGAUGUUCAUGAAGUUUUCUCACGUCAUUUUUGACUCAAGGCAAGAUACAGAAAAGCUUAAGACGUCCAAGACUCAAAUUUGGAUUGCACAAACAUACCUGACUUAAAACAUCUCUAACUUUUGCAUCUAGACUCCAAAUAGGUGAAUCUUUUUUGUUUCAAAGCUUAUUUUGUAUACUUUCCAACGCAAUUGGAUUCAACUUUAAAUUCCUUUGAACUCACCUUUAAUGAUUAUGUAACACUAAGGUAUUGAUGAUACAACUUCACGCGAGGAUGAUGAAU
rnacentral:lncRNA from 1 species